GGGAGUGAAAUAGAACCUGAAACCCUGCACUUACAAGCUGUGGAAGCACAUUUCUUGUGUGACCGCGUACUUUUUGUAGAACGGGCCAACGAGUUACGUUAAGUAGCAAGGUUAAGCACUUAAGGUGCGGAGCCGUAGCGAAAGCGAGUUUUAACUGAGCGUUCAGUUACUUGACGUAGACCCGAAACCGGGCGACCUACCCAUGAGCAGGCUGAAGCGAAAGUAAAAUUUCGUGGAGGUCCGAACCCACGAGCGUUGAAAAGCUCGGGGAUGACUUGUGGGUAGCGGUGAAAUUCCAAUCGAGCCCGGAGAUAGCUGGUUCUCCCCGAAAUAGCUUUAGGGCUAGCCUCAAGGUGAGAGAUACGGAGGUAGAGCACUGAAUGUCCUAGGGGGUAUUGCACCUACCGAAGACUAUCAAACUCCGAAUGCCGUCAUCUUAUACUUGGGAGUCAGACUGUGGGUGAUAAGAUUCAUAGUCGAAAGGGCAACAGCCCAGAUCGUCAGCUAAGGUCCCUAAAUGUAAGUUAAGUGGUAAAGGAUGUGGGAUUGCACAGACAACCAGGAUGUUGGCUUAGAAGCAGCCACUCAUUCAAAGAGUGCGUAAUAGAGUGAUGGUAGAGUGAUUCUGCGCUGUAGAGAUCCGGGUUUAAACGUUACGGCUGAGGCUACGGCAUCAUUAACAGUGGGUAGGGGAGCUGCACAUACGGGUUGAGUUAUUACCGUAGGGACUUGUGGACAGUAUGGGAGUGAGAAUGUUGGCAUGAGUAGCGAGAUGUGGGUGAGAAUCCCACAGGCCGUAAACCCAAGGU
rnacentral:rRNA from 1 species